GGCUCGUUGGUCUAGGGGUAUGAUUCCUGCUUCGGGUGCAGGAGGUCCCGGAUUCAAAUCCCGGACGAGCCC
rnacentral:tRNA from 1 species